UAGCUUUUCUAGCAAGGCGUCUGACUACGAAUCAGGAGAUUGCGGGUUCGAUCCCCGU
rnacentral:tRNA from 1 species